rnacentral:rRNA from 1 species
UACGUAGGUGGCAAGCGUUAUCCGGAUUUAUUGGGCGUAAAGGGAACGCAGGCGGUCUUUUAAGUCUGAUGUGAAAGCCUUCGGCUUAACCGGAGUAGUGCAUUGGAAACUGGGAGACUUGAGUGCAGAAGAGGAGAGUGGAACUCCAUGUGUAGCGGUGAAAUGCGUAGAUAUAUGGAGGAACACCGGUGGCGAAAGCGGCUCUCUGGCCUGUGACUGACACUGAGGCUCGAAAGCGUGGGGAGCAAACAGG